rnacentral:rRNA from 1 species
AUUGAACGCUGGCGGCAGGCCUAACACAUGCAAGUCGAACGAGUGGCGGACGGGUGAGUAAUGUCUGGGCAACUGCCUGAUGGAGGGGGAUAACUACUGGAAACGGUAGCUAAUACCGCAUACCAUCAGAUGUGCCCAGAUGGGUUUAGCUUGUUGGUGGGGUAACGGCGCACCAAGGCGACGAUCCCUAGCGGGUCUGAGAGGGUGACGAGCCACACUGGAACUGAGACACGGUCCAGACUCCUACGGGAGGCAGCAGGGGGGAAUUUUGGACAAUGGGCGAAAUCCUGAUGCAGCCAUGCCGCGUGUGUGAUGAAGGCCUUCGGGUUGUAAAGUACUUUCGGCAGGGAGGCGUUACCCGCAGAAUAAGCACCGGCUAACUCCGUGCCAGCAGCCGCGGUAAUUC